rnacentral:rRNA from 1 species
AACCUCCGCAAUGUGAGAAAUCGCGACGGGGGGAUCCCAAGCGCCAUUCUUAACGGGAUGGCUUUUCAUUAGUGUAAAGAGCUUUUGGAAUAAGAGCUGGGCAAGACCGGUGCCAGCCGCCGCGGUAACACCGGCAGCUCUAGUGGUAACAAUUUUUAUUGGGCCUAAAGCGUCCGUAGCCGGUUUAAUAAGUCUCUGGUGAAAUCCUGUAGCUUAACUGUGGGAAUUGCUGGAGAUACUAUUAGACUUGAGACCGGGAGAGGUUAGAGGUACUCCCAGGGUAGAGGUGAAAUUCUGUAAUCCUGGGAGGACCGCCUGUUGCGAAGGCGUCUAACUGGAACGGUUCUGACGGUGAGGGACGAAAGUUAGGGGCGCGAACCGGAUUAGAUACCCGGGUAGUCCUAACUGUAAACGAUGCGGACUUGGUGUUGGGGUGGCUUUGAGCUGCUCCAGUGCCGAAGGGAAGCUGUUAAGUCCGCCGCCUGGGAAGUACGGUCGCAAGACUGAAACUUAAAGGAAUU